rnacentral:rRNA from 1 species
GACGAACGCUGGCGGCGUGCUUAACACAUGCAAGUCGAGCGGUAAGGCCCUUUCGGGGGUACACGAGCGGCGAACGGGUGAGUAACACGUGGGUGACCUGCCUUUAGCUCUGGGAUAAGCCUGGGAAACCGGGUCUAAUACCGGGAUAUGACUCCGCGGCGCAUGUUGUGGGGUGGAAAGCCUUGUGCGGCUGGAGAUGGGCCCGCGGCCUAUCAGCUUGUGUGGGUGAUG